rnacentral:rRNA from 1 species
GAUGAACGCUGGCGGCGUGCCUAAUACAUGCAAGUAGAACGAUCAGGAGAGGAGCUUGCUCCUCUUGGAUGAGCUGCGAACGGGUGAGUAACGCGUGGGUAACCUGCCUAUUAGACGGGGAUAACUUCGGGAAACGGUAGCUAAUACCGGAUAAUAUAGUAUGACACAUGGCUUUAUUUUGAAAGGGGGUAUUGCUCUACUACAAGAUUGAAUCCCCUCGUCAUUGGUAAUUUGUUAGGUUAACGGCUUACCAAGGCAACGAUGCGUACCCAACCGGAGAGGGUGAUCGCCCACCCUGGACCUGGGCCCCGGCCCAGACUCCUACGGGAGCCAGCAGUAGGGAAUCUUCCGCAAUGGGCGAAAGCUUGCCGGAGCACCGCCGGGUGAGUGAUGAAGGUCUUCGGACCGUAAAAUCUUGUGAUUAGCAAGAACCAAAUGUGUAAUGGACUAUGCACGUUUUGACGGUACCUAAUCAGAAAGCCACGGCUAACUACGUG